rnacentral:lncRNA from 1 species
AGCAACGGUUUUAAGUAUUAAUUACGGUGUCGUGACGUUUCCAAUUUUUUAAACAAUAGGUUGACCGUGACUUUCCCGCCAGAUCGAGCCCCGUCCGUCCAUCUGGGUCUUUAAUUUAAAUGGGGAAUCCCACAAACCACUGGAUUACCUAAAUCAGAAUAUUCUCUCCAGUCCAUCUCCAGUCCAGCCAACCAAUCAACCCGCCCGUUCAAUUGGAUCUCCGCAUCCGGAUCUCCCAAAAGUCCAAUUCCAACCUUCUCCGCCGACACAGAUCUGCCUUCCAUUUUUAAAGACUGAAUAAAAAUGAUUGCAAUUCCGUACUUCACUGCUUUAACGACGUACUUUAGCUAUGGAUUGUUGUUUGUUUUUGGCCAAUUCAGAGAUUUCUUUCGCAAAAUUCUUGACUGGUGGAGCACCGACAACCUUCAGGUGAUUUUUUUUUCCGCUUGCGUGCUUCUUUCUGAUUGGCUGUUGACAUUUGGUUCUGGUGAAGCAGGGAUAUGCGCCUAUCUGCUUGGGACUGGAAGAUUUCUAUAUUCGGCGCCUGUAUAACCGAGUUCAGGUAUUUUCUGGAUUGAUUUGAUUGAAUUUUGAAAUUAAUCACGUGCUUUAAUUGAAUUUGAUUAGUGAUUUGACUUUUAAAUCAAGUGAUUAGAAUUAGACUCGAUACUGAUCAAGCAUUCAAUGAACUGAGUUUUUUUUUUUUUAAAUUGAGUCAUGGAGAUUUAUCAUGUGAUUGGGAUUUCUAAUUUGUAAUUCUAUUGUCUGGUUUGGUAUUGAGGUGCUGUAAGCUACAACUAAUGUAGAAAAAAAUGAUAAUUAUAAAAUAAAAGUUAAUAGCACGUAGUAAAUAUAAUUUUUAAUUAAUAUUUUUGAUAAAAUAAGUAAAGAUAUGAUAGAUUUUUCAUUAUAUAAGUGUAAAAUCAAAGCAACUUAGCUUUCAAGCUAGAGGAGUUAGUAUUUACUAUACUUUUAGUGCUGUAGUUUUGAAGUUACAGCUGUCUAACCUCAAUUUCAGACAAGACACAUGUUGACUAGAGGACAGGGUGGAUUUGACAAACGUAAUGGCAAAAGAAUAGUUAUGUUCUUUGUGCAAGUCAUUUUCAGUUAUGUGGUUCUUUAUCAUUUUGUUGUAUCUAACAGGAUUGCUUUGGGAGACCUUUAUCAAGUGCCCCUGAUGCAUGGUUUGAUGUCGUUGAACGUUAUUCCAAUGACAAUAAUAAGACACUCAAGUAAGUAUUUUCUCUUGUGCUUGAUGAUUAUGAUUUAGAUAGGUAUUUAGUUUCUUCUGCUGUACGGCCAAGGCGGAUGUCCGGUACAGCAGAAAAUUCAGAGGUUAAAACCACUUAGAUCGUAUCAAAUUAAAAGGUAAAAACCCCUUAUAAAAACAAAUCACACGGAUGAGAGAGAGACUCCACUCUUUCUAACCCUUCUCACAAACGGUCAUACACAAAACCCCAAACCGCACACCGCACACCGCACACCGCACACCUUCCAUCAUCCUAAUUCCUAUAGUGCUAUUGUUGAUGCAUCAAUCUGGUUAGGAUUUUGACAGAGUUAAAGCUGCCUCUUGUUUCUUCAUUUCUCUUUCUCCUUCUUCACCUAUUUCUUUUUUUUUUUUCUCUCUCUUCAAAAACUCGUCAUUACCAAAGGUAAACUUUAAAACCCACUUGCACAAACACACACAGUCAUUUAAUUCUACCUUCUUUUGUUAAUUUUAACAAAAUUUAAUGCUCACUGUUUUAUUUUAUUUUGCAUGUGGUUUUCACCCAAUAUUUGAAUCAAACAUUCGCAAGGGAUUUUAAGAGCACCCUGUAUUUUUUCCUUUCCCGUUUGCGGCGGCCCAGUGUUUAUGAUUGACACUGAUUUGUUUUUUUGUUUAUUGAUUUACACGGCCACAAGAAUUCACAUAUACUGGAUAAAUAGAUUUCUUUAUUUUUAAAUAAACUUUAAAAUUCGGUCUAAAAAAAUCAAAGUUGAUUUGCGACUCCUAACAGCAACGGUUUUAAGUAUUAAUUACGGUGUCGUGACGUUUCCAAUUUUUUAAACAAUAGGUUGACCGUGACUUUCCCGCCAGAUCGAGCCCCGUCCGUCCAUCUGGGUCUUUAAUUUAAAUGGGGAAUCCCACAAACCACUGGAUUACCUAAAUCAGAAUAUUCUCUCCAGUCCAUCUCCAGUCCAGCCAACCAAUCAACCCGCCCGUUCAAUUGGAUCUCCGCAUCCGGAUCUCCCAAAAGUCCAAUUCCAACCUUCUCCGCCGACACAGAUCUGCCUUCCAUUUUUAAAGACUGAAUAAAAAUGAUUGCAAUUCCGUACUUCACUGCUUUAACGACGUACUUUAGCUAUGGAUUGUUGUUUGUUUUUGGCCAAUUCAGAGAUUUCUUUCGCAAAAUUCUUGACUGGUGGAGCACCGACAACCUUCAGGUGAUUUUUUUUUCCGCUUGCGUGCUUCUUUCUGAUUGGCUGUUGACAUUUGGUUCUGGUGAAGCAGGGAUAUGCGCCUAUCUGCUUGGGACUGGAAGAUUUCUAUAUUCGGCGCCUGUAUAACCGAGUUCAGGUAUUUUCUGGAUUGAUUUGAUUGAAUUUUGAAAUUAAUCACGUGCUUUAAUUGAAUUUGAUUAGUGAUUUGACUUUUAAAUCAAGUGAUUAGAAUUAGACUCGAUACUGAUCAAGCAUUCAAUGAACUGAGUUUUUUUUUUUUUAAAUUGAGUCAUGGAGAUUUAUCAUGUGAUUGGGAUUUCUAAUUUGUAAUUCUAUUGUCUGGUUUGGUAUUGAGGUGCUGUAAGCUACAACUAAUGUAGAAAAAAAUGAUAAUUAUAAAAUAAAAGUUAAUAGCACGUAGUAAAUAUAAUUUUUAAUUAAUAUUUUUGAUAAAAUAAGUAAAGAUAUGAUAGAUUUUUCAUUAUAUAAGUGUAAAAUCAAAGCAACUUAGCUUUCAAGCUAGAGGAGUUAGUAUUUACUAUACUUUUAGUGCUGUAGUUUUGAAGUUACAGCUGUCUAACCUCAAUUUCAGACAAGACACAUGUUGACUAGAGGACAGGGUGGAUUUGACAAACGUAAUGGCAAAAGAAUAGUUAUGUUCUUUGUGCAAGUCAUUUUCAGUUAUGUGGUUCUUUAUCAUUUUGUUGUAUCUAACAGGAUUGCUUUGGGAGACCUUUAUCAAGUGCCCCUGAUGCAUGGUUUGAUGUCGUUGAACGUUAUUCCAAUGACAAUAAUAAGACACUCAAGUAAGUAUUUUCUCUUGUGCUUGAUGAUUAUGAUUUAGAUAGGUAUUUAGUUUCUUUUAUCAUUUUUGUUCAUCGUAUUCACGCCAUUGAAGAAUACCUAUAUGAAUGAGUGAUCUAAUGCAGACGAACCAACAAUGUAAGUAGAUGCCUGAAUUUGGGAUCAUACAACUACCUUGGUUUUGCUGCAGCAGAUGAAUACUGUACACCCCGAGUAAUUGACUCAUUGAAAAAAUAUUCUCAUAGUACCUGUAGUAGUCGGGUGGAUGGUGGUGAGUUUAUUACCUUGUAGGAUGCUUUUGUGUUGACACUUGUUAUAGAAAGUUUUACUAAUGCAGUUUUGCCAUCAGGCACAUUGGCGCUGCACAAUGAAUUGGAGGAGUGUGUUGCAAGGUUUGUUGGAAAGCCAGCUGCUAUAGUUUUUGGCAUGGGCUAUGUAACCAACUCAUCUAUCCUUCCAGUCUUGAUGGGGAAGGUCCGUUAUAUAACAUAUGAGAGCAACUUUUAAACAUAAUUUCUCACCUUGCUAUUUAAUUUUGACUGCUUGUCAAUUUUAUUUACAGGGAAGUUUGAUUAUUAGUGAUUCAUUGAACCAUAAUUCUAUUGUGAACGGUGCACGAGGAUCUGGAGCAACUAUUCGUGUUUUCCAACACAAUAGUAAGUCUUUCUGUUUUGUUGCUGAAUUAAAUGAUUCCGACUUCAUGAUGAGGUGUGACUGUUGUCAAGUAUGGUUCUUGUUUCUUGGGUAGGACAUCGUAGCAUAUGAUACUAAUUUGUGAAAAAAAACAAAAUGCAUCACUAUUGUGCAUUAGUAAUCAGUAUGGUGCAUUAUUUUUUCGAAUGCAAGUAGUACUCCAAAGAUCUCAGUUGGAGAAGUUUCUGAUCAUGGUUCCUUUUACCAUUUUGUUUACAGCCCCUUCUCACUUGGAGGAAGUCUUGAGGGAACAAAUCGCGGAGGGACAACCGAGAACUCGUAGACCUUGGAAGAAGAUCAUGGUUGUUGUGGAGGGGAUUUACAGCAUGGAAGGGGAGCUUUGCAAACUUCCUGAAAUAAUAGCAAUCUGCAAAAGAUAUAAGGUUGUGUGAGAUGAUGUCUAUCAUUUCAAUAUGCGCCUUGAACUGUCAUAUCACUAAAGUCAUCAAAUUCUUUUUCGUGAAUGGGAAAUUAUUUACUUUCUGCAAUGUUUUAAAAAGAUGAUUCUUGAUAUGCUAAUAUAAUAUGUAUUUUCAAACUUUAUUUAGCAUCCUAGAUAUUCUUUUAUAGGACUAUUUGUCUUCUGCAUAUUUUGAUGUGAACUCUAUGCUUAAUUCCUUUUCCCCAAUUUACAAAAGUAAAAAAGGUUACAGCGCUCAUUGUAUGUUGAAGUUAUAGCAAACCUAUGACUACUCAAUCCUUUUCCCAUAUCUCUUUCCAUGCACUUCAUAAAUAUUCCUACCUUUUAUGCGCAUGAUCAUAUGUUUGCUUGUAAUCUCAAGUCUCGUGCUUGCAUUCCUUUUGCAUUUAAAGUUGUUCAAGAGUUGUUCUUUUACUCUCAUUUAAAGUCUGUUUGUCAUUAUCUUUUUAUAGGCUCUCUUUUUUUCAAUAGCUAUGCAUUAUUUUAUACUAUUUUUAUGGUUUCAAUAUCGUGGGACAGGCAUAUACAUACUUAGAUGAGGCCCACAGCAUAGGAGCUGUGGGCAAAACAGGAAGAGGGGUUUGCGAGCUCUUAGGAGUUGAUACCUCUGAUGUGGAUAUCAUGAUGGGAACUUUUAGUAAAUCAUUUGGAUCAUAUGGUGGCUACAUUGCAGGAUCUAAGGUACACUUUUCAGCAAUCUAAGCUAUAAUGUAGUGUUUAACAUAUGAAUCAUAAUAAUCAUAUGGGUUAUUCAUCCAUAUUCUGUUACUGUCUUCUAUCUUCUACCAUUGAAAGUAUAUAUACUAACCAUUUAUAAACAUUUCCCCACUGGAAUGGAUUCUCCUUCAAGUGUUUGUAUUGGCCAUUGUGCAGGGGAGAAAAAAGUUGGGGAGGGUUUAGGGGAGAAAAAUAUAUUAUAAGCUCUCAAUUGCAUUCUUAUAGGAUCAUUUUUAUUUUGUCCUUUUUAAUUUGAAGGAACUGAUCCAAUACUUGAAGUACAAUUGUCCUGCUCAUCUAUAUGCAACUUCAAUUUCACCACCUGCAGCAGAACAAAUCAUAUCUGCCAUACAAGUUGUUAUAGGGGAGGAUGGUUCAUGUAGAGGUACAAACUGAUACUUUUGUCAUUAUUCUUUCUUUUGAGCUAAUAGUGUGCGAGCUUCAUGAAGUUCCAUGGGUCUUGCUAUAUUGAUCUGAACCUUAAAUUCUUUUGUAUUCAUAUAGGUGCCCAGAAACUUGCACGUAUUCGCGAGAAUAGCAACUUUUUUAGGUCAAAACUGCAGAAAAUGGGGUUCGAAGUUCUCGGAGAUAAUGAUUCUCCAGUGAUGCCAAUUAUGGUUUACAACCCUGCCAAAGUCUCGUCCUUUUCACGAGAGUGUCUCAAGCAGAAUGUGUGUGCGCCUGGCUUAACCCCCUAUCUCAUGAUUAAAGUUUUUGUGACAAAUUUUAAUUAGGUGUAUGUAACUAGAAACUGAUAUUUGUUAUAGGUGGCUAUUGUGACUGUUGGUUUCCCGGCUACCCCACUACUAUUGGCAAGGGCUCGUAUAUGCAUAUCCGCUUCGCAUACGAAGGAAGAUCUGAUUGAAGCCUUGGAGGUAAGUUCUGCUCCAUAGAAGACCAUUGCAUGAGUGUGUGUGAGAGAGAGAGCGAUUGCAAGAAUACACAUUCACAUUAGUUUUCUUCACAUGGAUUAUCCUAGGAGAGUAUUAGAUACAGACACAUGGAUUCGUGGUUGUAUACUAUGAUUAUGACAUUUGUUUAGGACUUUUAAGCAUGCGAGAAGCAAAUUUUGACAUUUUAGUUCUUGUCAAUUUUAAAUAGGCACAGAGUGCAUCUUAGUUCAGUUGAUUUAAUAAAAACAAUUCUUUCUUAGUGUGUCUACAUUGUAAAUCCUGGUUUGGAUUGCUUUCUUGUCUCAGGUAAUCAAUAGGAUUGGUGAUCUUGUGGGUAUUAAAUACUUCCCAGCUGAACCAAAGAAACAACAGCAAGUGGGGAUGUUGAAGUUAGAGUAAUACAGAAAUAAUUUUUUCCACAUUAUAUCAGUUUCAAGCAGCAGCAUCACAAGGCAAGAUCUAUAAAGCAUUGACCAAGAAAGACUCGGUGAUUAUUUUGCUUAGGUAAUGGUUGGAUUCUUAUAGUCUUUAAGUUCUGAUAUCAUCAUCCCUAUCAUGUAAAUUGCUUUGGAAGGAUCAGCCUCUCCACCCAUACAUAGACAAAAUCAAGUGACGCUCGUGUCCUUGAUGGGGGCCAGUGUCUUUUCUUUUCCUUUUAAACUUUUUGUUAAAUUAUUUAUGCUGUCUCUCUUUCAAAGAUUCCAUUGGUGUAGCUGCAAGUGGUGCCUUUGUCCCUUACAUAUACACUGGAAAUUGAUGCUGCUAGUGCCUAGUGGGUCUUUCUGUCACUCUCCCUCCCUAUUACCAUCCAUGUCCUUAUCAUCGUCAUCCUCCUAAUUUAUUUGACCUUCUAAAUUAAUUCAGUUUUCAUCGGGGUCCUGGGUUUUGUCUUCUCAAAAUUGAGAAUACUGGUCAAAGGUUGAAGCUUUUGAGUGCUUACAUCAGGUUUACGCUUCUUUUUCAAUAGGGGUUCUUUGUUUGCACCAUCUCUUCUUUGAGGUUUUGAUUAUGUGAAAUUUUCAAGUUUUGGAGAGAUGAACCAGUUACUAGUCAGGGUUUUGAACUGAAAAGUAUGAGCUAUGUUUGUUUUUGGAAUAUCAUGUAGGACAGGUCAUGGUAAAAUAGAUUAGAAAUUGUAGCUUUUUAGUGAAUUUAGUAUUUUUUCCUUUGUUGUAUUGGUUUUGAGCUGUGUUUGUUAUCAUGGUUAGGGCAGGUGAUGGUAAAAUAGAUUAGAAAUUGUAGCUUUUUAGUGAAUUUAGUAUUUUUUUCUUUGUUGUAUUGGUUUUGAGCUGUUUUUGUUAUCAUGGUUUGAAUACGAUUUGAGUUCAUUUGUCGUACUUGAACAAAAUUAGGAUCAAGUAGCUUAUUAAUUUAAAUGAUACUAUUAUUCCUGCAUUUUUCAUUCCUUUCAUCAAUAAAUUUUUAAUUAUCUCCUUCGGGAUUUGAAAUUUUCGUAAGCUAAUUAAAAGUAGAAAUGUUUAAGUUAAUAUUUUUUUGGUUUUGCUCAUAGUUUUUGUUUAAUAUCAAACCCGGCAAAACCUACCAACCGCUGCUGCUAAGUGGUAUCGUCAGCACCGGGAAUUUACGGGAAAGAUUUUGGAAAGUUUAGAUCCUAACUUUCUAAACACUACGUUUGACUGUGUUAGGUUUUUUUAACACUAAUUCGAUUUAAUUAUUUAUUAAUCAUGUUAUCCACUUAAUAUGAAUUUUAUCUUUUUUAUCAAAAUUUCACUUGUUUCCCAUAUGAUUAAAUAUUUUGUAAAAUUUCUGGAGCACUAACUUUCAAACUCCAAUUGGUCCUAAUAAAUAAAUAAGUAAAUAAAUAAAUAAAUAAAACUCAAUCACUUUUUAAAUAGUAAAAUUAAAUGUAGUAUAAUUGGGGUUAAAAAAAAAAGUCACUAUGAAAUGAUUAACCAAAUUGUUAACUAUAUAUGAUGUGGGUUUCAGUGUGUAAAAAUUUCUACGCUUAUUAAUAAAUGGGUGAUGCAUAUUUCAUCUAAAUAAUAAUUAUAUCAUUUUACCAAUGUACAAAUUCACAAUCAUAACCUCUUAUGUAAUUAUGUUGCGUGCCUUGAGUUUUUACUUAAAAAAAAAUUGAUCAUGAAAAUACCAUAUUGGAUGGAAUAUAAAAUAGUAUUUGGGAUGAAUCAUAAUAUUAUGUAAAAUAUAAUUAUUAUUUACCAAGACUCGAAGCCAACAAUUCUCUUUUUAAUUCAACAAAAAGAAAAAGUUAUUAUCAAAUUUAAAUUUAAUUAACAUAAUUACAUAAUCAACAUACCCAUUAAAAUCUCAAAAAUCAAAUUAAGACUUUUUUAUCAAGAUAGUUCAGGAAGGUUUCCAUUUUAUUAUAUUUUAUAUUUUUCAAACAAAACAAAGUUUUCCAAUUUUUAAAAGACAUAAAAGUUGACUUGACCAUGAUUUUUCUGCCAGGUCCAGCCAGACCAUUGGAGUCUAAAACCGCGGAGGCCCGCACCGCUGAAUUGAUUACCAGAAUUAGAAUCUUUCUCCCGCCUCCACAUCCUCUCUGGCUCUCUCAAUCCCCGCCCGAUUUCAUUCGGGUCCAUUUUCGGAUCCUCCCUUUCAGCUUUGUCUCCUCAUUCCGAUCUCUCAAUAUUCCUCUCUCUGCGCCUCCGCAGAUCUGUUCUUCACAUUUCCAACUCACAAAUUAUUAUUAUAUUAAUUAAGUAGAGAUGAUUUCAAUUCCGUACUUAACCGCUUUAACGACUUAUUUCAGCUAUGGAUUGUUGUUUGUUUUUGGC